AUCCUGCCAGUAGUCAUAUGCUUGUCUCAAAGAUUAAGCCAUGCAUGUCCAAGUACAAGCCUCACUAAGGUGAAACCGCGAAUGGCUCAUUAAAUCACACCUAAUCUACUGGAUAGUUAACAGGUACUUGGAUACCUGCGGUAAUUCUGGAGCUAAUACAUGCGAAAAGCCUCGAACUUACGUGAGAGGCGCUUUUAUUGGAUCAAAACCAAUCGGCUUCGGCUGUACUCUUGGUGACUCUGAAUAACUUUGGGCUGAUCGUAUAGCCUUGCGCUGACGACAUAUCCUUCGAAGGUGUGCCCUAUCAACUGUCGACUGUGGCAUAGACGCCCACAGUGGUUUUGACGGGUAACGGGGAAUCAGGGUUCGAUUCCGGAGAGGGAGCCUUAAAAACGGCUACCACAUCUAAGGAAGGCAGCAGGCACGCAAAUUACCCAAUGAUCGAAGAUCGAGGUAGUGACGAAAAAUAACGAUCCAGGACUCAUCCGAGGCCCUGGAAUCGGAAUGAGUACACUUUAAAACCGUCCCCGAGGAUCUAUUGGAGGGCAAGUCUGGCGCCAGCAGCCGCGGUAAUUCCAGCUCCAAUAGCGUAUAUUAAAGUUGUUGUGGUUAAAAAGCUCGUAGUUGGAUCUCGGCGGACUGAGGGCGGUUUGCUUGCUAGUAUUACUGCCCUAUAGUCCGUAGUUUUGCCAGAGGUUUCGGGGUGCUCUUAAUCGAGUGUCCCGGGAUGCUGGCAGGUUUACUUUGAAAAAAUUAGAGUGCUCAAAGCAGGCUAUUACGCCUGAAUAUUCGUGCAUGGAAUAUAGAAUUAGGAAGUCGUUUCUAUUUUGUUGGUUUUCGGAAAUCGACUUAAUGAUUAAUAGGGACAGUCGGGGGCAUUUGUAUUCAAACGACAGAGGUGAAAUUCUUGGACCGUUUGAAGACAAACUACUGCGAAAGCAUUUGCCAAGAAUGUUUUCAUUAAUCAAGAACGAAAGUUAAAGGUUCGAAGGCGAUUAGAUACCGCCCUAGUUUUAACCAUAAACGAUGCCAGCUAGCGAUCUGCGGACGUUUUUUUUGUAGACUCCGCAGGAAGCUUCCGGGAAACCAAAGCAUUUGGGUUCCAGGGGAAGUAUGGUUGCAAAGCUGAAACUUAAAGGAAUUGACGGAAGGGCACCACCAGGAGUGGAGCCUGUGGCUUAAUUUGACUCAACACGGGAAAUCUCACCAGGCCCGGACACUGGAAGGAUUGACAGAUUGAUAGCUCUUUCUUGAUUCGGUGGGUGGUGGUGCAUGGCCGUUCUUAGUUGGUGGAGUGAUUUGUCUGGUUAAUUCCGAUAACGAACGAGACUCUGUCCUGCUAAAUAGUGUCUGCUUCUCUUUCGAGCAGACAAUUCUUCUUAGAGGGACUGGCGACUCUUAGUCGCACGAGAUUGGGCAAUAACAGGUCUGUGAUGCCCUUAGAUGUUCUGGGCCGCACACGCGCUACACUGAAUAGAUCAGCGUGUUCUCCCUUUCCGAGAGGAACGGGUAAACCGCUGAACCCUAUUCGUGGUAGGGAUCGGGGCUUGCAAUUAUUCCCCGUGAACCAGGAAUUCCCAGUAGGCGCAAGUCAUAAGCUUGCGUCGAUUACGUCCCUGCCCUUUGUACACACCGCC
rnacentral:rRNA from 1 species